UGGGGGGGGGCCAAACAAUGCAAGUCGAGCGGAUGACGGGAGCUUGCUCCUUGAUUCAGCGGCGGACGGGUGAGUAAUGCCUAGGAAUCUGCCUGGUAGUGGGGGACAACGUUUCGAAAGGAACGCUAAUACCGCAUACGUCCUACGGGAGAAAGCAGGGGACCUUCGGGCCUUGCGCUAUCAGAUGAGCCUAGGUCGGAUUAGCUUGUUGGUGAGGUAAUGGCUCACCAAGGCGACGAUCCGUAACUGGUCUGAGAGGAUGAUCAGUCACACUGGAACUGAGACACGGUCCAGACUCCUACGGGAGGCAGCAGUGGGGAAUAUUGGACAAUGGGCGAAAGCCUGAUCCAGCCAUGCCGCGUGUGUGAAGAAGGUCUUCGGAUUGUAAAGCACUUUAAGUUGGGAGGAAGGGCAGUAAGUUAAUACCUUGCUGUUUUGACGUUACCGACAGAAUAAGCACCGGCUAACUCUGUGCCAGCAGCCGCGGUAAUACAGAGGGUGCAAGCGUUAAUCGGAAUUACUGGGCGUAAAGCGCGCGUAGGUGGUUUGUUAAGUUGGAUGUGAAAGCCCCGGGCUCAACCUGGGAACUGCAUCCAAAACUGGCAAGCUAGAGUACGGUAGAGGGUGGUGGAAUUUCCUGUGUAGCGGUGAAAUGCGUAGAUAUAGGAAGGAACACCAGUGGCGAAGGCGACCACCUGGACUGAUACUGACACUGAGGUGCGAAAGCGUGGGAGCAAACAGGAUUAGAUACCCUGGUAGUCCACGCCGUAAACGAUGUCAACUAGCCGUUGGAAUCCUUGAGAUUUUAGUGGCGCAGCUAACGCAUUAAGGUUGACCGCUGGGGAGUACGGCGCAAGGGUUAAAACUCAAAUGAAUUGACGGGGGCCCCGCCACCAAGCGGUGGAAGCAUGGUUGGGUUUUAAUUUC
rnacentral:rRNA from 2 species